CAUCAUGUUUCAACGGCCGAUCAACUUGCCGGUAUAUUCACCAAGUCCUUACCAGCUCAACAACUGCAUCUACUACGUGACAAGCUGAUGAUCAUCCCGCCCAUCAGCUUGCUGGAUGGUGACAAGAACUGCUCCACUAAUAGCAGUUUAUCCAAAGAACGUUCUGCACAGGCAACUACCGCCGCCUGUGCUACUCUGCUUUAUACAGUUUAGGGAUAGUUCAGUAAUUUUAUACCGUGUCUAUUUUGGUUAUUUAUACAAAUACUGUAACCAUCUUCAUUUCAAGUAAUAUGAUGAACACUCGAAGUCUUGCCAAGCUUCCGUCUUCUUCAUUGCCUGUGCUUGAGUUCUCUUCUUUGCAGGUGAUGCUUGAGCUGUUUCUUCAGUCAUCGUAUAAGUUGAGAGGGAGGAAGGAUCACACUAGGGCACGAGUCUGGGCUGUUGCGAGUUGCGAAUCGAGAGAGGAUGACGGAUGAUUGGGUUGCUAGGUUGAAUGGAAGCAAAGCAGCAGCUGCCAUCGAUUAGUUGACAGGAUCUUGUGCCAUGCAGGGGAUUGAUGAAAAGAAAGCUUCACAAAUUAUAAGUCAAUGUACGAUUCCUAUGCUAUAAUGGGUUUUAAGUAUUGCCGAAUCAGGCAUAUAAUCUUUUGUUUGCUUGAUUCAUUGCAUUUUAGGUUUCAUCUUAGGCCUCUCUUGAUUCUGCUGAACUUUCAAAAAGCUUUUUAGGGUCUGUUUGGGACAUCUUUUUAAUUACUUCAUUUUUCAGACCCUAUCAAUAUUUUGUUAUUGCUUU